rnacentral:sRNA from 1 species
AUCAACAGAACACAACGGAUCUGUGUCCAGCGAUCCUGAUCAUGGAGGCACUUUCUCUCACGAGAAAAGCUGUUUCUGUGUUUCGGUUGAUUACUGGACAGUUCGACGACUUAAGGAGCCACCACUUUUUUUCCAGGUUUGGUGGUUUAUUUUCCGGUCGACAGAUCUUAGAUUAAAUGUCGGCGCUAGGUAUCACUCUGGUCUUGAGCUCCCUUUUGUCUUCGGAUGAUCGGUGAGCUCGGCUGGAUGGCCUGGCUGUUGACGGCGUCAUAUUCCUGUUCUCUUUACCGAUUUGGCCGUCGGCUGAUGAGGUUAGGGAUAAACCAUGACUGGCCAACAUCU